rnacentral:sRNA from 1 species
GGGGAGCCGAGGAGCGGAGACACGGACCCAGCGGGGCCACGCGGGAGGAGACUUGGGACACCCAUUCGCUGGCUGCCACCGGGAGCAGCGGGGGGCUCGGCCGCCCCCUCCCACAUCAGUCUCCAGACCCUUGGGGCUUCAGAGGCCGCUCCUAGGCUCCUCGGAGGAGGCGCGGGUUCCUUCUUUUCCGGAGAGCAAACUUUCCUCGGAGAUGCCUCGCAGGAUAAGCUGCGGCCCCCGGAGAGGUCGGGGCAGCUUCUGAUCGCCGCCUGCGUGCCCCGCCACUGCCCGUGGCCAGGAGGCCCCAGGGAACGGACAGCCCGACCUCUUAGGCGCCGGGACCCUCAGGCUCAGAUCAGUGGCCGAGGCCCCAGAGUUUGCAAACUCAGCUCUGGAGUUCAGCAGCAACAGCAGCAGGAAAAACCUGCCCCUGCUCCCCCCUCCCGCCACCUCCCCUCUCCUCUUCUCCCCUCACCCAGCAGGCACCCCCGGUUCCCGCCAGGACCUCCUGCCAUGUCGGACCCAGACGUCCCCAGGGGCCCGGAUGCCCCCGCCAUGUGGCCCCCUUGUUCCAGGGGUGCCUGAGCCCCUUCAGGGAGCCCCAACCCACCCCCAACCUUGGCCCAGCCCUGAGCCCCAGGGACCAUGAGCGGGGGCAAGAAGAAGAGUAGUUUCCAAAUCACCAGCGUCACCACGGACUAUGAGGGCCCCGGGAGCCCAGGGGCUUCGGAUCCCCCUACCCCACAGCCCCCAACCGGGCCCCCGCCCCGCCUGCCCAAUGGGGAGCCCAGCCCCGAUCCAGGGGGCAAGGGCACCCCCCGGAAUGGCUCCCCACCACCUGGGGCCCCUUCCUCCCGUUUCCGGGUGGUGAAGCUGCCCCAUGGCCUGGGAGAGCCUUAUCGCCGCGGUCGCUGGACGUGUGUGGAUGUUUAUGAGCGAGACCUGGAGCCCCACAGCUUCGGCCGACUCCUGGAGGGAAUUCGAGGGGCCUCAGGGGGCGCCGGGGGCAGAUCUUUGGAUUCCAGGUUGGAGCUGGCCAGCCUUGGCCUGGGCGCCCCCACCCCACAGUCAGGCCUGUCUCAGGGCCCCACCUCCUGGCUCCGUCCACCCCCCACCUCUCCUGGACCUCAGGCCCGCUCCUUCACUGGGGGACUGGGCCAGCUGGUGGUGCCUGGCAAAGCCAAGGCAGAGACACCCCCACUGGCGGCCUCCCCACCCCAGCAGCGCCCCCCAGAGCCUGGGACCGGUGAGAGUGCGGGCACAUCCCGGGCUGCCACGCCCCUGCCCUCUCUGAGGGUGGAAGCGGAGGCUGGGGGCUCAGGGGCCAGGACCCCUCCACUGUCGCGGAGGAAAGCUGUAGACAUGCGGCUGCGGAUGGAUUUGGGUGCUCCAGAGGAGAUGGGGCAGGUGCCCCCACUUGACUCUCGCCCCAGCUCCCCGGCCGUCUACUUCGCCCACGAUGCCAGCCUGGUUCACAAAUCUCCAGACCCCUUCGGAGCAGUAGCAGCUCAGAAAUUCAGCCUGGCCCACUCCAUGUUGGCCAUCAGUGGUCACCUAGACAGCGACGAUGAUAGGUAGGUGGGCUUCGUGGGGUGGUGGGGCUUGGGGUUCAGGUUCCCUGCCCAGCACCUGGGGUAGCUGUAAGAAAGUGCCUGGUAGGCAUCCUUCCCCCAGGUUGAACUUGGAGAGGACCUCUUAGACACAGAAACCUGGCGUGGGCAUAGCCACUGCACACAGUUGAUUUCGGACCCACUCCCUCUCUGUGGAGAAGGCUGGGUGGGACUCCCUGGCUCAGAACUGUCAGGUCACAGACUUUUUUAGAGUCUGAAGGGAGUCAUUGUUGUCAGAUUCCAGAGCUCUUGCAGAUUUAGAGAUCAUCUGGCCAACCCCAGGAACCCACUGGCAAAUGCGUGCUCUAGACAGAAUAGCAAAUCAGGCUGGGGUGCAGUGGCUCCCGCCUGUACUCAUAGUGCUUUGAGGCCAGGAGUUCAAGACCAAGCCCUGGCAAUGUAGUGAGACCUCAUCUCUAAAAAGAAAAA